rnacentral:tRNA from 2 species
UGCGGGGUAGAGCAGUCUGGUAGCUCGACAGGCUCAUAACCUGUAGGCCGUUGGUUCAAAUCCUUCCCCCGCAA